GGACCCGCACAAGUAGUGGAGCAUGUGGUUUAAUUCGAAGAUACGCGCAGAACCUUACCAACACUUGACAUGUUCGUCGCGACUUUAAGAGAUUAAAGUUUUCGGUUCGGCCGGACGAAACACAGGUGCUGCAUGGCUGUCGUCAGCUCGUGUCGUGAGAUGUUGGUUAAGUCCCGCAACGAGCGCAACCCUCACUUUUAGUUGCCAUCAUUUAGUUGGGCACUCUGAAAGAACUGCCAGUGAUAAGCUGGAGGAAGGUGGGGAUGACGUCAAGUCCUCAUGGCCCUUACGUGUUGGGCUACACACGUGCUACAAUGGCAAGUACAACGAGUCGCAAUACCGCGAGGUGGAGCA
rnacentral:rRNA from 1 species